rnacentral:ncRNA from 1 species
AAGCUUCAUAGUCGAAAGGGAAACAGCCCAGACCAUCAGCUAAGGUCCCUAAGUAUACACUAAGUGGGAAAGGAUGUGGAAUUGCACAGACAACCAGGAUGUUGGCUCAGAAGCAGCCACCAUUUAAAGAGUGCGUAAUAGCUCACUGGUCGAGUGGUUCUGCGCCGAAAAUGUAACGGGGCUCAAGUGUAUCACCGAAGCUAUGGCUUUAUCGAGGUUCGAGAUUCGAGAUUCGAAGUUCGAAAGAGGGAAAGCGAUGAUUAAAAGCUACAAGGACUUAGAAGUCUAUAAAAAGUCUUAUGAGACAG